rnacentral:rRNA from 1 species
CCUACGGGAGGCUGCAGUGGGGAAUAUUGCACAAUGGGCGCAAGCCUGAUGCAGCCAUGCCGCGUGUGUGAAGAAGGCCUUCGGGUUGUAAAGCACUUUCAGCGGGGAGGAAGUCGGUGAGGUUAAUAACCUCAUCGAUUGACGUUACCCGCAGAAGAAGCACCGGCUAACUCCGUGCCAUCAGCCGCGGUAAUACGGAGGGUGCAAGCGUUAAUCGGAAUUACUGGGCGUAAAGCGCACGCAGGCGGUCUGUCAAGUCGGAUGUGAAAUCCCCGGGCUCAACCUGGGAACUGCAUUCGAAACUGGCAGGCUAGAGUCUUGUAGAGGGGGGUAGAAUUCCAGGUGUAGCGGUGAAAUGCGUAGAGAUCUGGAGGAAUACCGGUGGCGAAGGCGGCCCCCUGGACAAAGACUGACGCUCAGGUGCGAAAGCGUGGGGAGCAAACAGGAUUAGAUACCCGAGUAGUC